rnacentral:rRNA from 1 species
ACGCUCGACACCUACGAGAGGCAGCAGUGGGGAAUAUUGCACAAUGGGGGAAACCCUGAUGCAGCGACGCCGCGUGAAGGAAGAAGUAUCUCGGUAUGUAAACUUCUAUCAGCAGGGAAGAAAGUGACGGUACCUGACUAAGAACGCCCCGGCUAACUACGUGCCAGCAGCCGCGGUAAUCUGAGCGGGCUGGCAAGGC